rnacentral:lncRNA from 10 species
CAGAAAAGCACAUGGCUUGUCCAAGAAAAUGAAAGCCCUCUGUGUCUGCAAUAAAGAAGGCUGAAGUGUAGAAUGAUGCAAAAUGAAGCGGGCGAGCUUCACAGGUGCAGAGCAGAUACAGUGUUGCAGGCAAAAGAAAGGAGUCUGGUAUUUGUUUCAAUAGAAAUAGGCAGUCAUUAACUGUAUUUCAAUUAGGGGAGUGAAAUAAAUAAUCCUAAUUGCUUUUUUUAAAAAUCACUCUAGAUUUCCAGAAUAAAGAAAGAAAGAAGAAAAGGAGGGAGGAAGGAAGAAGGGAGAGAGGAAGAAAAAGGCUAUUAGCAGACUCAUUUAAAAUGGAAAUGAGAUGCAACUGAACAACUUCAUUUGGGAUUGGAGAGUUGUCUGGAUUAAGCAAUUUAAUCUGUACAAGAGGAAGAAAAUACAUUUCGGAAGCAUGUAGUAAAUUUGGGCAUCCAUUUUGAUGGCAUUUGCCAAGCUUCUAUCAUGGGGACCCCUGCUCUCCUUGGUGCGUAUGCACUUCCUGUGUGGUUUCAUCUAUUCCUGUUGAGUGUAUGACAUGUACCAUUAAUAUACUAAUGAGCCUAAACUCUGUUUCUCCUGCCCACGAAGAUCUCUGAAAACUCAGGCCCAUAGAAUUAACCAUCCUGAGUAUUUUUUAUAAUAAAAAUGCUACAGAAACUCUCAAAUUGGAAUGAUUUAUUACUGUGCCCAACCUUCCUUUUUUUCUAUUUCUCUUAUUUAUCUCAAAGAAUACCUCAACCAUUCACUUAGUCACUGAAGUCAAAUAUCUAGAGACAUCUUAGACUUUUUAUUUUUCUUCUCCCAUAAUUUUCAAUUGUUGAUCAAAUAUUUUCAAUUGUAUCUUUUUAACAUUUUCUGUUUCCAACUGAUCACGUUUGUUCCUGUUGCUAUUCCUUGUAUCAAUAUCUUAUCUUUUUUCCCUCAUACGUCUUCUAUUUUUUUCUAUCCAGUCUCUCUCUCCUGUAUUGCUUUUGCUUGUUCUUUCUCUAUACUGGCAUCAAACCAAAUUUUCUAAAAUGCAAAAUUUAGCAUUAUCCUCCCUAAAACAUUGUAGUGACUGCUCUGAUAGGCCAUGGUUAUUCGCUAGAAAUCUCUUUCUCAUUCUCUUACUAGUACAGGCAAUGAUUGCUUUAAAAAGUCCCUUCUGAAAUUGUAUGAUUUGUAGUAGAUACAAUGCCUGCAUCAGUAUCUAUGCCAGUUUGAAGCCUUUAAAGGCACCUUCUUAACAACAUCUAAGGCCACAACAACCAGAAGAACUGUCUGAGCCAUCCUUUUUUUAGCUCAGUCAGUUUCUGCAAAACAACUUCUGCUUUGAGCCUUUCAUCUUAUUUCUGC